ACAGAAUUUUGGCAUUUUGCAGGUAAAGUUUGGCACACCACGACCGUUUUCUGGACCAAAUUUGUUAUUUUGAAUGGAUUAUAAAAUCUCUAAAAUUUGUAGAUUUUGGGGCAGGUUGAACCAGAAUUUCUAAAAUUAAACAUAUUAGAAAAACUAAAUACAAAACCAUAAGUUAUGGUUUUGUAUCCGCUGGGAAAUGAAAUAAUCAAAUGCUUAUUUCUGAAAGCCAAGUAACCUUUAUAGAUAUUGGAUAACAUAUUCUCCCAUAUGGAUUUUGGCACACUGAAGACGUCUGUCCGUCGUGUUUGCACCGUUUGGGCCCGCAUAAGCACCCCCAUUCUUGGACGGAAAGCCCUCGUCACCUUUUCCGAGUCUAAGGGCAUGACCAUCUUCAACCCUAAGCUAGCAACGAAUACUGCCAUAUGCUUGGAUUCCAAUUGUGGUUGUAUGCACAUUUGUAGAUGUAGAUCCGAAAUAGGGUCAACACCUUUCAGGAGCAUCGUUACUGAAAUUGUAAACCUUUUGACUGAAUUACACCUCUCGGCCGGAAGUAAAUUCGAAGCGGUCCAGGAACGGAGGAGCAGAAGAAUGAUGGAUAACUCGUGGAACCGUUUUUCCAUUCUGGUUGACAGCUGGGAAGACCACGUCGCGUUUAAAGGGCCAAAAUUUCGAAGCCUUCCAAAUCUGAGAGUGCUUCGCUUUAUCUUAGGCGGUGCAAGGGAUCAGCACUCUCCGCCUGCCCGCUCGAGGGCCAUUCUACAAGGGUUGCUCAACUCUGCACCCAAAGUAGAAGAGCUAACGAUAUCUUUGUUUGGACAAAGUCCAGAUUGGGAAUUAUCUAGCACAAGGGUGAAGAUUUUGAAGUACAGCGUGUGGUUUCACCCUAUCGAACCCUCAGAUUAUCCUAUUUCUCCACCGUACACACCGUUUUUCCACUCAGAGGUGUUCGAGAGAUUUGCGGAGUCUUUGGAAAAGCUAGAAUUGGGUCCUCAAGGUUAUGCUAAGACUAUAGACGUUUCCUUCCCGAUCGUUACCCAUCUUACGAUCCACGAUGCCGAUAACAAUUAUCUGGAGAACUUUCUUGACCUUCCUCACCUACCGAAACUGACUCAUUUGUCGGUACGCCAUUACCGAAUUUCCAAACUGUUUAGAACUAGACAGCGGGGCCACGCACACGUGACGUCACUUGAACUGGUGACGGGCACCUAUUGUUACCAGGAGGAUGUGCAAGCUGCAUCUAACAUUGUGCGCCUCUUCCCAUCCGUAACCGAGUUUAAGAUGAAAUUGAAAUUAGAACCUUAAACGGAGGUUUUCACAGCAUUUUUGGGUGAAACGAUCGGUGCCUUCCGUAGCUGGGUUUUGACGAAGGGGCAGGUCGUGGUUCAAGGCAUGUCUGCGGAGGCCGUAUCCGCCAUUUUGGAAGGGCUAGAGGAAUGGCAAGGUUUGAAAAGCACGUCACUUUGGUUUAGCAAAUCACUAGAAUUUGAAGAUUUUGAAUUGACUAACCGUGUAAACGCAGCCCUCGUGGCAUGCAGUUCGAUUCGACGUAUUGAUGUGUCAGGGUGCUCGGCGCGUGGUUAAGCUAAACCGUUUACAAGAUUUUCGAGGAGUCACAUAUUCAAGUAAGGACAUUAAAGCAACCCUCGCUCAUUUUCUAUUUAUAGAUUUUAUAGCGAAUGCAUGCAACUUUUAGCAUGCAAAUUUUAUGCAUCCAUUUUUUGCAUGCAAGCUUUUUUUGCAUGGAGUUUUGCGAUGCUGGGGGCUGACCCCCCCAGGGGUUGCAGAUAACCCCAGCGCAGUGACCGCGGCGCCGUGACCUUUGACCUGUCAAGCGUAUUUAUUAUAAUAUGAGCGUUACAUGGUGAGUAUGUAUGUCAAGAUGAAAAAACCACACAUUGAUAUUUAACUACAAUGAUGAAAUGUGCAUAAUAAUGUUAAGUUUCACAGUUUAAUAGCUUAAUUAAAUGUACAUGGCUCGCAGAAGCUGGCCAACUUCAUUUGACAUUCCAAGCGAAUUACGUCCAGUUUUAUUCUAAAGAAAUUUACUUUAAGAUAUUUAUUAUUCCACAUACAAUGAAUUGAUUAUUGCUUAGUUUUAUUGAUACACACAAAGUGACAAUGAAUUUGCUUAUAUUAAUUUGUGUUGUGCUGCAGACCGUAAAUUCGUAUGCGGAAUGUUAUCGUCAUGAUAGUUGUGUGCAAUGCAUUCAAAUUGUGGGUUGCGUUUACGGAGUAACAAGUUCAAGUGCUCGGAAAUGUUUUCAUCGUGACGAGAUUUCGGUUGGAAUUUUGGCAACCUUUCGAAAUCCGACUGCAUGUAAAAGAAUUUACAGGUUUGCAACCACCCAGACGAGUGCAUUUGAUAACCAUUCUAAAAGUGGAAACAAUAUCAUUGUUAAAGAAGAGAUAAUGCACAAUGUUUUAACAGAGCGGGUUUCAACCUCCACCACAACUGAAAAUCAAUUGUAUACUUCAACAUUACCUACUUUCACGACUUUGCCAACGACCAAAAUAGUGACGACCAAUUUUUAUUUGCCGGAAACCUUACAUCCCACACAACCAAGUGUUGAUCCCGAGCAAGACAAUUCAGAGACCACAACGGAGACAAUAAUAAACACUGCUGUCGCCGAAAAACUGGCAAUCGAGACUACAAUCCUACCAAUGGUGGAAUCAACUACGCAUUUCUCUGAGCUAAUUCAUCGGCCCACUGAUCCAUUCCUGUUGCUGAAUACGAGCAUCACAAUUGGGGAAACCAAUAAUACUGCGAAUUGGAAUAAUGGUUCCAACCAUAGUGGAAGUUUCAACUCUUCCGUCCCGACAACUACCAAUUUAACGAUUUCGACUUUUCCAGUUGUAGCAGCAAGAAAACGGAAAAUGUGGAGCACCUAUGACAAAAUUGGAUUAUAUGCAUGCAGAAUUACUAAAUUACUUAAGAAGAAUAAUUUCUUUCAUGAUCGAGAUCUUUCUACUAUUAAUAAUAUCAUAUCGAGGAAAUUUGAUUAUGUAUUGAAUUCGGAAUUAUUCCGAAUGAGAUGCUGACGGUUCAGCCUCUGACCUCGUCAGUUGUGUCUGAAGCAAUAAAGGAGGCACAGGAAGCCGCAGUCCAAGCAGCAGUCCAAGCAUCCCCCCCCCACAAACGCCCCCGCCAGUAAACGAACGAAAAAUUAAAAAAAGUAGUAAUUUAGUGGUGAUUUUAUCGAAAUGAGUCAUUUGUAGAGUUCAUAUAUACAUGUAGAAUUUAGUAGUGAUUUUAGUAGUGAUUUCUAAUCAUUUUAAGUUGAUGAUUGAAAAUAAAAACAAAUGAUUUGAUGGAAAUGAGCAAAUAAAAAAAUAAAUCGAAAAAAUUUCAUGCAUUUAUUGUAAUAAAAUUAUCAUAAUUAUUUAUUGCUAGAACUUCCUCUAAAUCCAACACUCUGCAAAUGCAUUUGCUUAAUUAACCUGUUGCAUAUAUAUUUAAAUGUUUUUGGCAUAAAAUAUUGACUUUCCGCUGAGUAACGAAUCACAUAAUACAUAAUCAAAUUUCCUCGAUAUGAUAUUAUUAAUAGUAGAAAGAUCUCGAUCAUGAAAGAAAUUAUUCUUCUUAAGUAAUUUAGUAAUUCUGCAUGCAUAUAAUCCAAUUUUGUCAUAGGUGCU